rnacentral:rRNA from 1 species
GACGAACGCUGGCGGCGUGCUUAACACAUGCAAGUCGAACGGAAAGGCCCUGCUUUUGUGGGGUGCUCGAGUGGCGAACGGGUGAGUAACACGUGAGUAACCUGCCCUUGACUUUGGGAUAACUUCAGGGAACUGGGGCUACUACCGGAUAGGAGCUCCUGCUGCAUGGUGGGGGUUGGAAAGUUUCGGCGGUUGGGGAUGGACUCGCGGCUUAUCAGCUUGUUGGUGGGGUAGUGGCUUACCAAGGCUUUGACGGGUAGCCGGCCUGAGAGGGUGACCGGCCACAUUGGGACUGAGAUACGGCCCAGACUCCUACGGGAGGCAGCAGUGGGGAAUAUUGCACAAUGGGCGGAAGCCUGAUGCAGCAACGCCGCGUGCGGGAUGACGGCCUUCGGGUUGUAAACCGCUUUCGCCUGUGACGAAGCGUGAGUGACGGUAAUGGGUAAAGAAGCACCGGCUAACUACGUG